AACGAACGCUGGCGGCAUGCCUAACACAUGCAAGUCGAACGAGACCUUCGGGUCUAGUGGCGCACGGGUGCGUAACGCGUGGGAACCUGCCCUUAGGUUCGGAAUAACUCCCCGAAAGGGGUGCUAAUACCGGAUAAUGUCUUCGGACCAAAGAUUUAUCGCCUUUGGAUGGGCCCGCGUUGGAUUAGCUAGUUGGUAGGGUAAAAGCCUACCAAGGCGACGAUCCAUAGCUGGUCUGAGAGGAUGAUCAGCCACACUGGGACUGAGACACGGCCCAGACUCCUACGGGAGGCAGCAGUGGGGAAUAUUGGACAAGGGGCGAAAGCCUGAUCCAGCAAUGCCGCGUGAGUGAUGAAGGCCUUAGGGUUGUAAAGCUCUUUUACCCGGGAUGAUAAUGACAGUACCGGGAGAAUAAGCUCCGGCUAACUCC
rnacentral:rRNA from 1 species